CAGGGUUUUUACAUCAUGACAUAUGGUGAGGAGGAGGAUCUUGACAGUCUUCCCGAAAAAAGAUGCUCACGUCAGCGAUUAUCUGGCUGCCGAGAAAGAUGUCACCCAAAGUCUGGUCCAUGGUGUUGGAGAAAGUGUUCAAAUCUGUUCAGGAAAAGGUGUUACUUCUUACCUGGAGGACUCCUUAGGAGAGGAAGAGGAGAUUCAAAAGAGGAGGCUUCAGUUGGAGAAAGAGGAGGAUGACAGUACUGACCUGAUGCAACAAUAUUCCAGACCAAUCCAUUUCACAAGUUCAAGAAGAAGAUUCAGAGCCGGUUCUGAUUAAUUCUCUGCUGUCAUCCGUUUUUUAAAAUUUUUUAUUUAUGUGAAUUUUCAAAAGAAUACAAUGAAAGUGGGGAAACAUUGUGGUUUAUAGGAAAGUGGGAAUUAAAAAGAGAAAAGAGAAAAAAGGGGGGAAAAAAGGUGCUGAAGAUUUCAUUGACUUCCAUCUUUAUCUAUAUUGGAUGUAAACAUUCAGGGGAUCUUCCCCAAUUUAUCUAUUGUUCAUUGUUAUCAUAGCUUCUCUAUAAUCUGUAUUUAUUCUUGUUGUUAAGUUACAACCCUUCUAUGUUUAUAUUGUCUUGAUAUGCUUUUUCUUUACCAAAAAGUUCAGUAAAGGUUGCCAAUCCGUGCUCUUGUUUGGUAAUCCUUGUUGUUUAGCUAGUAGAUAUGAAAGUCUAUCCAUAUUCUUUAUUUCCAUUAGUUUUACUAUCCAGUCAUUUACGUCCGGUAUCUUUUCUUGUCUCCAGUUCCUUGCGUAGACAAUUCUCGCAGCCGCCAUCAUAUAAUUAAGUAAAAGUUCAUCAUUUUCUUUUAUGUUUCUUUUAUGUUUUCUUCUGAGAUUCCUAAUAGUAAGUGUUCUGGUCUCAUUUGGUAAUUAAUGUUCAAUAUUUUUUGUGAAAUCCCAUGUAUCUCUUUCCAAAAUUUCUUUACUUUUUCAC
rnacentral:lncRNA from 11 species